rnacentral:sRNA from 1 species
AAACAAGUGUUUACUUGUUGUUCUGUUUCUUAUGAGAUACAC